rnacentral:rRNA from 1 species
CCCGCUCAGAAACUCAAAGGAAUUGACGGGGCCCGCACAAGCGGUGGAGCAUGUGGUUUAAUUCGAUGAUACGCGAGGAACCUUACCUGGGCUCAAAUGUAUGUUGACGUAUUCUGAAAGGGAUACUUCUUCGGGCAAUAUACAAGGUGCUGCAUGGUUGUCGUCAGCUCGUGCCGUGAGGUGUCGGGUUAAGUCCCAUAACGAGCGCAACCCCUAUCAUUAGUUGCCAUCAGGUCAAGCUGGGGACUCUAAUGAAACUGCCUACGCAAGUAGUGAGGAAGGUGGGGAUGACGUCAAAUCAGCACGGCCCUUACGUCCAGGGCCACACACGUGCUACAAUGGCCGGUACAAAGGGCAGCUACCUGGUGACAGGAUGCUAAUCUCAAAAGCCGGUCUCAGUUCGGAUCGGAGUCUGCAACCCGACUCCGUGAAGCUGGAAUCGCUGGUAAUCGCGCAUCAGCCAUGGCGCGGUGAAUACGUUCCCGGGCCUU